GUGCCCCUUAGUCUGGGAUAGCCACUGGAAACGGUGAUUAAUACCGGAUACUCCUUCUCUNAUUAAUNUAGAGUUGGGAAANCUUUUUGGCUAAGGGAUCGGCCUAUAUCGUAUCAGCUAGUUGGUGAGGUAAUGGCUCACCAAGGCAAUGACACGUAGCGGGUUUGAGAGGAUGAUCCGCCACACUGGUACUGAGACACGGACCAGACUCCUACGGGAGGCAGCAGUGAGGAAUAUUGCACAAUGGGGGAAACCCUGAUGCAGCAACGCCGCGUGGAGGAUGACACAUUUCGGUGUGUAAACUCCUUUUAUCAGAGAAGAAAAUGACGGUAUCUGAUGAAUAAGCGCCGGCUAACUCCGUGCCAGCAGCCGCGGUAAUACGGAGGGCGCAAGCGUUACUCGGAAUCACUGGGCGUAAAGGACGCGUAGGCGGGUUUUCAAGUCAGGUGUGAAAUCCUAUGGCUCAACCAUAGAACUGCACUUGAAACUGGGAACCUAGAGUAUGGAAGGGGCAGAUGGAAUUAGUGGUGUAGGGGUAAAAUCCGUAGAUAUCACUAGGAAUACCGAAAGCGAAGGCGAUCUGCUGGGACAUUACUGACGCUGAGGCGUGAAAGCGUNGGGGAGCAAACAGGAUUAGAUACCCUGGUAGUCCACGCCCUAAACGAUGAAUGCUAGUCGUCNGGGACUCUUGUAGUNUUCGGUGAUGCAGUUAACACAUUAAGCAUUCCGCCUGGGGAGUACGGUCGCAAGAUUAAAACUCAAAAGGAAUAGACGGGGACCCGCACAAGUGGUGGAGCAUGUGGUUUAAUUCGAAGAUACGCGAAGAACCUUACCUAGCCUUGACAUUG
rnacentral:rRNA from 1 species